UGAGGGUGCGUUGCGGUUGCGUCGCGGGUGCGUUGCGGUUGCGUCGCG
rnacentral:sRNA from 1 species